rnacentral:rRNA from 1 species
UACGUAGGGUGCGAACGUUGUUCGGAAUCACUGGGCAUAAAGAGCGCGUAGGCGGUCUGAUAAGUCCUGUGUGAAAGCCCCCGGCUUAACCGGGGAAUUGCACAGGAUACUGUCAGGCUAGAGUGCAGGAGGGGAGAGCGGAAUUCCUGGUGGAGCGGUGAAAUGCGUAGAUAUCUGGAGGAAUACCGGUGGCGAAGGCGGCAUCCUGGACCGGCAUUGACGCUGAUGAGCGAAAGCCAGGGGAGCAAACGGG